UCCAUAAAUCAAAAUUUAAUUUCCAAUUCCAGACGUGGAACUAGAGCAAAAGGAUAUAGAUUGUAAAAUUUUAAUUACACCUUAAACCCUGAGUAUAAACAACUGAGAUUAUCCAAAGAGAACAAUACCACAUUUUUAUUUUCCUGUGGUCAGAAUCCUUUUUCUAGCUCUGAUCUGUGUAAACCUCUUAUAUUUACAGUUCAAGUACCCUGACUGGGAUUGCUUUGUGCAGAUAUAACAGGAGUGGCGACUAACGCACUCUGCAGCUCUAUUUUGUUGUUUUAGAGUCUCACUCUAGCCCUGGUUGGCCUAGAACUCAGUGUCUGCCCAUGCUAGCCACAGACUCCUAGAGGAUUCUCCUGCCUCAGCCUCUUAAGUGCUGAGAUUACAGGUGUGAGCCAGCACAUACAGCUAAAUUCUGUAUCUUCCUGUUCCCGUGGUUUCGAAUUUUUAGUCCUGAUGCCUUUCAUUUGUAGCUUAUUUCAUGCUGUUUUACUUUCGAUUGUUGUAGGAGAAACCGAAGUUUUAAAUAGUAAAGUAAAUCUUGAUUUUUUUUUUUAGUUUUAUCAGCUCCAUUUCAGAUGAUUUUGUGAGUUCUACGAUUGUACUUUCAUUCAUUUACUUACUAGUUUUUGUUUAUUUCUUCUGUUUCUAGGAUUCUUUGAGAAUCAUCUCAGAGUGAUAAACAUGUUAAUUUGUAUCUACAGCUGCCUGCCUUGAUCAUGUUGGAAGGUGGUUUUGCCGUUUACAUGACUUUUGGUUAUCAUUCACUGUGUCAAUUCAUUUGUCUCCUUUUCCUUGUUGGUGAAGAAAGGUGUGCUCAGGCUGCAGUUCCUAUAAAAGCUUUCCCCCUACUUGAAAGUUUCAAGAGUGUCUGAAAUUCCUUGGAUCAUUUUUAGAGUUCUUGCUCUAAAGUCUCUGUUAGGCUGAGUCUUAAUGUAUCCCAGGGAGACAUCAAACUCACAGUGUAGCAUGUGAUGACCUUGACAUCCUACACCUCCUGCUUCUGGGAUUACAGGCCAGACGUACCACUGCACCUGGAAAUAUUUGUCAUCCUAACAUCCUGGAAAUAUUUAUGGACGUUUUACUCUGUUUGAUCUGUUGUUUUAGCAAAGUCACUUUUAAACUUUCUAUAUCUUUUUAAUGUAAAUUGAUUUCUGGUGAGAAAAGAUAUCCUGUACAGUAUUUUUCCAAGUUUUAAAGUAAUCUUCCAUGGUUUAUCCAUGACAUAAGUCUUUUUUUAUUUGAUUUUUGGGAUUUACAUCCUUGUGAAUUUUAACUUAUCUGAGAAAAUUCUUUUUCUUUUUACUUCAAAGUUUUUUUAAUGAUUUCCUGUUAUUAUUUAAUAUAUUCUUUAUCGUGAAUAACUAGGUCUUUAACAUUUCUUGAUAGAUUGAUCUUAUGCUUUUUGAGUUUUGGCAUAUUUGUAACCCUUGGCUCUAGAAUAUAUUGAGCAAUUCUAAAUGAAAGGCAGCCACUCCUGUCAAUCAUUUUUGUAAUGUAUCUUGGUGCAUGUGAAAUAUUUAUUAGUAUUUACACACAUACAUUUGUUGUAUGCUCGACCUUCUGCUGAUUGGAGAUUCAUAUAAAGCCUGUCUUCUACAAAUAAACUCUCAAAAUUUAAGUGGAAUAUAGUUAAUUUAUUUUACCUAGGGUAAGUUAACAUAAUUUCUUCAGAUGUUAAUAUUUCAGUAACAAAUACUGAAAACAGAAUCUGGGUAUUUUUAGUUUUUACUUCAGAACCAGUUGUGGGCAAUUCUGAGCUAUAUUCGAGUGCUUGACUUCAUGGGACAUUUUAUUUUUACCUGAAGAGACUCUAUGUUUAGGCUUUACCUUUUUCGCAGUCAAGUUAUGAAAGAUGAAUUUGCCUAGCUACUUUGGACAUAACUCAUCAUGUCAUUACUCAAUUUUACAUUAUUCACAGUGGUAUAUUCAUUUCAGAAAGUGAGCAUGUGAAUGGAAAGAGUGAGUAUUUAUUAUAAAUGCUAAAAAUAAUAAAAAUACUUUUCAUGGCAAAGUACA